CCUACGGGUGGCUGCAGUGAGGAAUAUUGGUCAAUGGACGGAAGUCUGAACCAGCCAUGCCGCGUGCAGGAUGACGGCUCUAUGAGUUGUAAACUGCUUUUGUAUUAGGGUAAACACUCCUACGUGUAGGGGCUUGAAAGUAUAAUACGAAUAAGGAUCGGCUAACUCCGUUCCAGCAGCCGCGGUAAUACGGAGGGUCCAAGCGUUAUCCGGAUUUAUUGGGUUUAAAGGGUGCGUAGGCGGUUUGGUAAGUUAGAGGUGAAAUACCGGUGCUGAACACGGGAACGGCCGCUGAUACUGGAGAGCUAGAGAGUAGUAGAGGUAGGCAGAAGGUAAGGUGUAGCGGGGAAAUGCUUAGAGAUC
rnacentral:rRNA from 1 species